rnacentral:pre_miRNA from 1 species
AAUAAAUCAAUCUUUUACUUUUUAUCUACAAUGUUUGACACUUCAUGUUAUUCAAUUUUUUUACGAUUAAUAAUUUUGUCUUUAUUAGAUGAUAAAUUAUAAAUAAUACUUUACGUGAGACUAAUUUUUUCUCAAUUUCUUAAAAAAUGUUUAAAUAAGGAGAAUAAUCAAAUUAAUGCUGGACACGGAAACCGAAAGUUUAACUUAGA